CCUACGGGAGGCAGCAGUAGGGAAUUUUCCACAAUGGACGAAAGUCUGAUGGAGCAACGCCGCGUGAGUGAAGAAGGGUUUCGGCUCGUAAAGCCCUGUUGGUAGUGAAGAAAGAUAGAGGUAGUAACUGGCCUUUAUUUGACGGUAAUUACUUAGAAAGUCACGGCUAACUACGUGCCAGCAGCCGCGGUAAUACGUAGGUGGCAAGCGUUGUCCGGAUUUGUUGGGCGUAAAGCGAGUGCAGGCGGUUCAAUAAGUCUGAUGUGAAAGCCUUCGGCUCAACCGGAGAAUUGCAUCAGAAACUGUUGAACUUGAGUGCAGAAGAGGAGAGUGGAACUCCAUGGGUAGCGGUGGAAUGCGUAGAUAUAUGGAAGAACACCAGUGGCGAAGGCGGCUCUCUGGUCUGCAACUGACGCUGAGGCUCGAAAGCAUGGGUAGCGAACAGGAUUAGAUACCCCGGUAGUC
rnacentral:rRNA from 1 species